ensembl:snRNA U6 U6 spliceosomal RNA
GUGCUCACUUUGGCAGUACAAAAAUUAAAAUUGCAACAAUACAGAGAAGAUUAGCAUGGCCCCUGUGCAAGGCUGGCAUGCAAAUUCAUGUAGUGUUCCAUAUGUUU